ACUUGCUACAGAACACAUUUGAAGUAACACUGCUGUAAGAAAAUGUUAUGUUUCUUAAGAAAAUAAAACCAAGAACUUUAAGGUCGUCCUUGGAAGGAGAGGCUCUUGUAGAGAAGGAAGAGACAUCAUUCUGACCCUGAAGUUUUAUCACUUUCCAAGUUGGUGUCAGAAGCGGGAUCCGAAGUGGAACUUCUAGCAGCCCCCCAGGACCACUGCAUGACCCACUUGUGUCCAUUGAUCUCUCAGAGCAGUUGGGGAUCCUGGAGCCUGAAGGUAGGAUCUUCUGAGAACAUCAGAAAAAGACUAUCUCUACCAUCCACACUACAGCAAAACUUUGGAGCCUUGAACCUUGGGUUCAUAAUCUCACAAUGGAGAAGGGUCCCUCCACACUCCUAGAACUGUACAUACAUUGGAACCCUUAAGGUAAAACUAACCAGGAAAGUUUCUCCCCAGAAGAAGAUGGCAUCCUUGAUGUAAACUGCUUUUCCCAAGAUCACUAAUCAAGACUUCUACUAUUGAGAGACUUAUCUUUGAAUAUAUUUUCCUUGUUUAUGUCUCUGAACAAUAGAAAUGAAAAGGGGGUCUAUUAUGUGCAUUUAUUUAUAGGGUGUAUUUUUAUUUGUGAGGGAUUUUGCAGCCAGCCUUACACAUGAAUUACCAUAUACUUUAAUAGAUAAAAGAUGAAGGCCCAAUGUAGGUGAGAAACUUUGGGGGUACAUAUGUUGCCUCAUAAUCAGUCAAAACACCUCUUAACCCACAUCAUGGAUUAGAGAGAACCUUGCCAGGAGACCUUCACUCUUCUAGAAGGACAUCAUUUGUUAGGUCCUUUUUUCAUGGUUUAGAAUAAAAUAGGCAAUAAUUAGAAAUGUCACCCUCACAAUAAGCUCUAGUAGAAUUUACACAUCAAUACAUCAAUACACAGACAACAGACUUUAAAUUCUCUUGUGAAAGAUAUGCUAAAUAAUAGAAUUGGCUAAACAUAAAAGUACUUGCACAGCUACUGACAGUUGUGGCCUAUGGAGAAGUACAUCAAAUGUAAAUUAUACAAUUUCAGUUGCGGAGGAUUAAUGAAAAGACCACUUAGUCAAGCGAGUAGACUCUUCAUCUAGCUCAUUCUUUAAUCUAUUUAAUUUUAUGUGGUUUGGUUUAUGGGGACCCUUGGUAAGGAGCAUACUCCGAACUCUUGCAUUAUCCUCCCAAUAGUUAUAAUAAUAGUCUCUCUGGGGCACUGUACUCUCUCAAAGGUUUUAAAUGUUUGCAAGCAGCCAUCUCUAGAAUGUCAAAUGGUUUCUUUUC
rnacentral:lncRNA from 1 species